rnacentral:lncRNA from 1 species
CAAGAUGUGGAGGGCAAUAUGCCUCUCUCUGGGUUCGCCACGGGAUCAAGUUGCAGGGGCUGUCACUGGCAACACGCUUCUGCCUGAACGGUUCUGUGGGAUGAGCCCCAGGGAGGCGCUGGCAGCCUCACACCCUCCCCUCCCAGUCCCGCCCCUUGUGUUGGCUGCCUUUGUUUCUCCAAGACGGUUUUCUGAUCAAUUAAAAUCGUGUAGGGUCUUAAAUGGUAAUUCUGCCUUUUCAAAUAAACAAAGGCGGAGAACAAAUGGGAGGGUAAGUUUUAAUAAACCUUAGGCAUCAUUUCCUCCUGCUGUGACACUAAAUUUACUUGGAUAAAAACAACCUCUUAGAUUUACAUUUUGAUUCUGUUACUGCUUUCAUGUGUGCGGGGCUGUCCCACUUCAGAUGAAAUUUAUCCACUUCUUUAAAUAUUUAGUAGUCUAGCGUGGAUGUUAAUGAAAGUCUGGCGGUGCUAUUUUGAGAAUUGCAACAAUGAUAGUAAUUUUCAGUGUCAGAUUCCUGCUUCGCAAAGGGAAAGAGGGAUGGGAGAAGGGGGAGGGAAAAAUGGUUUCAGUUCUAAUAGAGUUUGCCAUCCGCUGGGCCGUGCCAGACAGAUGGGUCAUGAAUACUGUCUAGACGCUCUCUGCCUGAGCGAAGCCCUGGUCUCUAAGGACACGCAAUGAGACGCCGGCUUAAGUAACUGGGGAAAGUCAGGGCAAGCUCUCCUGUAACCAGAUAGAAAUCAACGUGAUCCUGCUUCCUGGGGGAGGCCAAGGGGUGGCCGGGAGGGUGUAGGGAGAGGGGGUGCUAAGAGAAAAGGCCCGCUGUUACUGAUCAAUUUUAGUGCAAACUUGACAAUUAUUAGGCAUUAGGGAGAGCGUGAAAGGACAGUUGUAGGAUGAUAACACUAUUGAUUUAAGCCGUACUGCCCAGAAUGCAGAAUGAUAUAUUUCAGACCCAGGCUUCAAAGGCCGGAGAGGAGCUGGGGUGAAAAGGAGGAUGUUGUCGUGUGUGCUUAAGACGGGAAUGCAGCCCGCGGGGUGACCUGCGUUAAUUGUGUAUAUUAACACACUCAGCACUGCUCUUGUGGAAACCGUUGGUCUUGACUGUUCAUUUAGCCUCUUAAUUUGCAAGGGUUUUAGAGGCUUACCAGGCUUGCUUUCUCUUUUUAUGAAUUUCUGCGAAUUUCUUCAUGCUGGGUCUCUUCCGGGCAGCUCCACAACUGGCAGAGCUGUAGGAAAGCGGGUAAAAAAAUCCCCAGCGCCUGCCUGGCUGCGCUUGGGUGCCUGCGUAGUCGUGAUGCUUGUCUUCCUAAUUAUUUUCUGAGUGGCGGGGAUGGAGUUUAUGUGAUGUCAGAAGUGAGUUUCUGCUCAUGAAGACUCCCAGUGUAAGUGUGGUGGGAGUCGGGAAGGAGAUAUUGAGGUAAAGAUGAGAUUGGGGGGCGGAGGCUGGGGGACCACCGAUAAGGCGGGAGGUGACGCAGCAGCUUGCCGUUCGGCUGGGAGGUGCUUUGUCGCUUGGUUUGAUGGCCGCUAAUCACGUCUUGGUCUUGAAAAAAAUUAUCCAAAAGGGUACUACGGUGAAACUUGGAAGGGACCAUCUUUGAGUAACUGAAGAAAUAAAGCUGAAGUCUAAAGCUGCCAUGAGAUACGUCGUGGACUGCAGAGGUGGGUGACCCUCCGAGGGCUGGACUUCUGGAUUCAUCCUCUGGGCUGGUGCCUCUUUCAGUCAUGGCAGCUUUAACAUGGGAAAGAAACCCCAACAACCUAAACUUUGCAGUAAUCAUUUUUUCACUCCUUCAUCCAUUCUUGUUCUGUCCCAAGAGCUAAUAACAGAGGGAAAAGAAGAUAUUUUUUGCUUCCUUCCCAGAAAGAAAACAGAGAUCAAAGAUAAAAAAUAUUUUCAAAGUAGACAAUCACUGGAGAGGGAAGAAAGAAAUCUUGUUUCAGGAGU